rnacentral:rRNA from 1 species
UGCAUGGUUGUCGUCAGCUCGUGUCGUGAGAUGUUGGGUUAAGUCCCGCAACGAGCGCAACCCUUAAGCUUAGUUGCCAGCAUUAAGUUGGGCACUCUAAGUUGACUGCCGGUGACAAACCGGAGGAAGGUGGGGAUGACGUCAAAUCAUCAUGCCCCUUAUGAUUUGGGCUACACACGUGCUACAAUGGACAAUACAAAGGGCAGCUAAACCGCGAGGUCAUGCAAAUCCCAUAAAGUUGUUCUCAGUUCGGAUUGUAGCCUGCAACUCGACUACAUGAAGCUGGAAUCGCUAGUAAUCGUAGAUCAGCAUGCUACGGUGAAUACGUUCCCGGGUCUUGUACACACCGCCCGUCACACCACGAGAGUUUGUAACACCCGAAGCCGGUGGAGUAACCAUUUAUGGAGCUAGCCGUCGAAGGUGGGACAAAUGAUUGGGGUGAAGUCGUAACAAGGUAGCCGUAUCGGAAGGUGCGGUUGGAUCACCUC